rnacentral:rRNA from 1 species
GAUGAACGCCGGCGGCGUGCCUAAUACAUGCAAGUCGAGCGAACGGACGAGAAGCUUGCUUCUCUGAUGUUAGCGGCGGACGGGUGAGUAACACGUGGAUAACCUACCUAUAAGACUGGGAUAACUUCGGGAAACCGGAGCUAAUACCGGAUAAUAUUUUGAACCGCAUGGUUAAAAAGUGAAAGACGGUCUUGCUGUCACUUAUAGAUGGAUCCGCGCUGCAUUAGCUAGUUGGUAAGGUAACGGCUUACCAAGGCAACGAUGCAUAGCCGACCUGAGAGGGUGAUCGGCCACACUGGAACUGAGACACGGUCCAGACUCCUACGGGAGGCAGCAGUAGGGAAUCUUCCGCAAUGGGCGAAAGCCUGACGGAGCAACGCCGCGUGAGUGAUGAAGGUCUUCGGAUCGUAAAACUCUGUUAUUAGGGAAGAACAUAUGUGUAAGUAACUGUGCACAUCUUGACGGUACCUAAUCAGAAAGCCACGGCUAACUACGUG